CCUUGGCAGUCAUCAUUCCACCUGACCGUUUGAUCUCUUUCGUUUUUUUUUUGUUUUUGGUUCAGGCGUUUCUUGCACUGUUUUUUUUUAUUUUCUUUUUCCUUUUUUUUUCUUUUUUUUUCUUUUGCAGGAUCGACCUCGAUUCCUUUUAUUUGCUCACAACAAGCCUCGGUAGCUUGACGGACAGCACUCCAUAAGUGCACUGAUUUGGAACUCAACAGUAUGAGUUAUCUCACCGGUCAAACAACUUGUUC
rnacentral:lncRNA from 1 species